CGCAAUUGAAAUCAGUCAAUAAGAAUCUUCAAUCAUGACUGUAACAUAUACCUCUCGCGUUAGCACCUCGAGUGUGGUAAGCAAUUUUUUGGGCUUGCUGGUCAGAUGGCGCGGCAGUAUUUACAAAUUGAUAUGGUUAGACUUAAUUGUGUUCUUUGGAUUGUACUGCAUACUGGCGAUUAUAUAUCGCCUGCUGAUUAACGAAGAGGGCAAACGGUUUUUUGAGGCUGUUAUUUAUUAUUGCGAAGUUAAUGGUUCGCUCAUUCCAUUGUCCUUUGUGCUUGGAUUUUUUGUAAGAAUUGUGAUGAAGCGCUGGUGGGAGCAAUACACCACCAUUCCUUGGCCAGAUGGGAUUGCCAUUCUGAUCAGCACCAGCAUCCACGGCUCCGAUGACAGAGCCAGGGUCAUGAGGCGAACCAUCCUGAGAUAUGUGUGCCUGUGUCAGGUGAUUGUUUUCACCAUGAUUGCACCCCGUGUGAAGCGUCGAUUUCCCACCUACAACCAACUCAUAGAAGCUGGGUUCUUGCUGGAGAACGAAAAGAAGAUUAUUGAGGCCUUGGAUCAAGCUUUUCCCUCCUAUCCGAAGCACUGGAUGCCCAUCGUCUGGGCUGCUAGUAUUGUGAUGAGGGCCAGGAGGGAGAACAAAAUCCGAGACGAUUACGCGGUUAAGACGAUCAUUGACGAGUUGAACCAAUUUCGUGGAUAUUGUGGCUUUUUGCUAUACUACGACUGGGUCAGUGUUCCUCUGGUUUACACCCAAGUGGUUACCGUGGCCACCUACUCAUUCUUCUUGUUCAGUCUCCUUGGACAACAGUGGAGCCCAGAAGAGGGCGCUGAGGAUGGAUUUAGUAUUAAGAGAUGGUUUCCCAUCCUGACCGUUCUUCAGUUUUUCUUUUACAUGGGCUGGCUCAAGGUAGCCGAAACUUUAAUAAAUCCUUUCGGAGAGGACGAUGACGACUUUGAGCUAAACUGGAUAAUAGAUCGGAAUCUCAGUGUUGCUUAUUGUAUUGUGGACGAAAUGCACCAGGAGCAUCCGGAGCUUGUUAAGGAUCAGUACUGGGAAGAAGUUUUCCCCAAUGAAAUGCCAUACGCUGUACCAAAAAUGCGCCAAAAUCCCCCAGAAGCUUCUACUGCCUAUAUGGAAACCCAAUCCCAGAAGAGACAACGGAAUGGAUCGGGAGCAUCGGAAUGAAGUACCUUUUCGCGGACUAAUUUUACACGGAACUUCCUGGGAAGACCAUCUGCCACGGGGAGCUACUCGGACUCUUUUCAAAUGGAAGAGGGCCCAUCUCGAGUGACCUUCAGUGACAAUCUGUUGGCAUCAGAAAUGGAUGACCUGUUGAGUUCCCGAAAACCGUCGCAAUCCACUGUUGAUUUUAACGAGCUUAUUGAGCAGCGUCGUCGUGAGCGCAGGGAUCGAAUGCGCCACCGAUAUAUGGAUAUGCGAAGCACCCAUCUCCGCCACGACCUUUCCGGUGAUCCCUACACAAUCACGGUCCUUCGUCCUCCGUCCGAUGAAACCCUCUCGGAAUAUCUGGAAGCCGGUGAGGGAUCCCAGCAGGAUCCAUCGGCCAAAUCACCUCCUCCAAAUAAGACAGAGAAGCACGAUUAG